GAUGAAGAACGUAGCGAAAUGCGAUAAGUAAUGUGAAUUGCAGAAUUCAGUGAAUCAUCGAGUCUUUGAACGCACAUUGCGCCCCCUGGUAUUCCGGGGGGCAUGCCUGUCCGAGCGUCAUUGCUGCCCUCAAGCACGGCUUGUGUGUUGGGCCCCCGUCCCCGGUUUCCCCCGGGGACGGGCCCGAAAGGCAGCGGCGGCACCGCGUCCGGUCCUCGAGCGUAUGGGGCUUUGUCACCCGCUCUGUAGGCCCGGCCGGCGCCAGCCGACACCCAACUUUAGUUCUAAGGUUGACCUCGGAUCAGGUAGGGAUACCCGCUGAACUUAAGCAUAUCAAUAAGCGGAGGA
rnacentral:misc_RNA from 1 species